rnacentral:rRNA from 1 species
UACGGAGGAUGCAAGCGUUAUCCGGAAUGAUUGGGCGUAAAGCGUCCGCAGGUGGCUAUGUAAGUCUGCUGUUAAAGAGCAAGGCUCAACCUUGUAAAGGCAGUGGAAACUACAUGGCUAGAGUGCGUUCGGGGCAGAGGGAAUUCCUGGUGUAGCGGUGAAAUGCGUAGAGAUCAGGAAGAACACCGGUGGCGAAAGCGCUCUGCUAGGCCGCAACUGACACUGAGGGACGAAAGCUAGGGGAGCGAAU